UAAACUAAUCAUAGUUAAUAAAAUGCGCAAGAAUCUCAAGCAAGAAAAUCUAAUACAUCAAAUUUUUUUUUUUUUUUUUCAAUUAUGUACUUUAUUUAUUUUAACCUAAUUUUUCUAUAUUUAAUUUAAUACUCAAAGGUCAUUGAACAAACGAAAUCAAAGUGAAUCAAAGAAGCUGAAAAAUUUAUUGAAUUUGGCAGUACGACGACAACCACGCCGGACCACAAUACGUACAAUACAGAACAUAAAAUGAGAGAAGAAAGAAGAAGAAGCAUAGCAGAACUUUUACGUUGGUUAACGAUGAGGCGAGCCUUCAAUUUGAUCGGAUGAUAGCUUCGUAACCCGGACAACAGACAGCGACAAAUGGCAAGCGAACAUUUUACAGACCCGUAAUCAUAAAUCACACAAAAUCCGUACGGUAUGAGAUGGUGCAAAAGAGACGGAUGGAGCAUGCAGCAUCAGUUAGAAGUAUGGCGAGUGGUCCUUCCUAAUGGCCAUGUCCUGCUGUUGGGCAUUUUAAAUAUAAGUGCCAUUCGUAUCGAUGGCUAUCUAAUGAGCUCCAACAACAGCAACAAUCACACAAGGAGCUGCCCAUCAAGUUCAUUGACCGUUAAAUUGAAAAUCAAAAAUCAUCCCAAUGACUCAUCGAAAGCAGCUUGGAAUAUUAUUAUGCCAUAAUGAGCUUUUUUUUCAGUGUUUUCCCAAGUUUUGAGCAAGUCGUUCAAAUUUGUUAAUUGAUUUUGAAGCGCAGUCCAUUAAAAGUUAUAUCUAAUUUA